UUUUCCUCCAAUGAAUUUUGGAAAUUUCGCUUUAAUUUUAUUUUUGAAAAAUAUUUUUUACAUUUUUAGUUUAUGACUUUAAUUUUUCGAAAAUAAGGAUGCAAUUCUUGUAUUCCAAUCUUUUUCUUAAAUUGCAACAACCCGUAGAAAUAUUUGAAGGUUUUUUCGCUUGAAGUUUAUCCGAAAUCUUCUGAAAUUUACGUGUGAGAAGAGCCGAAUUUAGAGUUAUAGGGGAACAACCAAAUGUAGCUAACAACUCAGGCGAAUUUACGAAACUUACAUAGUCAAAGAAGUGGAUAAAAGCAAAAGUUUCGGUACAGCAAAAUUGUCAAGAUCCGGCUUAAAAUAACAACUAAUUUUUAUAAAAAAGAAAAUCACAGGGUAUCAUGUCGGAGCAAAUUGUUGUAUUUGGUAUUCUGGGUGUGUCUUGUGUAUGUUAUUUAUGUCGUUGGCUUUACCUCUGCCAUAGGAGAAGAGCUGAACACGUCAUGGUGUUUCCCGAUGUGGAAAUGGAAAUGCAACAAAUAGAAACGGGCAACAAUGACAAUCCGAAUACUAUAGAUGAGCGAUCCAAUCCAGAUAAUGAAUGCGGAGUGACAUGAGACAGUGAAGCUCAGUGACCCAUUGAUUUAUGUUCUUAGUAUAGAUUGUAUGUUAGGAUGAUACUUUUAUGAUUUAUUUUUAAGUAUAAACUAUAAAAUUGUAUUCAAGUUUUUUGUUGUAAUUUGACGUUGACUGUCAUUUAUAAUUAAUACUCUUCCAAAAUUAUAAAAUAGUACAAAUUGUAGCGCAUAAGUUUUGGUUAAAGUAUUUUUUGUAUUCAACUGAAAUAUUCUUUUUAUUAAAUUUUUAGGAACUGUAAAAUUUUGUAUAUCUAACUGGA